UAGAAUCUGUGUUCAUCUGAUGAAU
rnacentral:piRNA from 1 species